rnacentral:rRNA from 1 species
CCUACGGGGGGCUGCAGUAGGGAAUAUUGCACAAUGGGGGAAACCCUGAUGCAGCAACGCCACGUGUGGGAAGAAGCAUUUCGGUGUGUAAACCACUGUCGAUAGGGAAUAAACGUCGGAUUCGUCCGGCCUGAAUGUACCUGUAAAGGAAGCACCGGCAAACUUCGUGCCAGCAGCCGCGGUAAUACGAGGGGUGCAAGCGUUGUUCGGAAUCACUGGGCGUAAAGGGAGCGUAGGCGGAACUCCAAGUCGGUCGUACAAUGCCGGGGCCCAAC